rnacentral:rRNA from 1 species
AGAGUUUGAUCCUGGCUCAGGAUGAACGCUUGGCGGCGUGCCUAACACAUUGCAAGUCGAGCGAUUUACUUCGGUAAAGAGCGGCGGACGGGUGAGUAACGCGUGGGUAACCUGCCUCAUACACAUGGAUAACAUACCGAAAGGUAUGCUAAUACAGGAUAAUAUAAGAGAUUCACAUGGAUUUCUUAUCAAAGCUCCGGCGGUAUGAGAUGGACCCGCGUCUGAUUAGCUAGUUGGUAAGGUAAUGGCUUACCAAGGCGACGAUCAGUAGCCGACCUGAGAGGGUGAUCGGCCACAUUGGAACUGAGACACGGUCCAAACUCCUACGGGAGGCAGCAGUGGGGAAUAUUGCACAAUGGGCGAAAGCCUGAUGCAGCAACGCCGCGUGAGUGAUGAAGGCCUUCGGGUCGUAAAACUCUGUCCUCAAGGAAGAUAAUGACGGUACUUGAGGAGGAAGCCCCGGCUAACUACGUGCCAGCAGCCGCGGUAAUACGUAGGGGGCUAGCGUUAUCCGGAUUUACUGGGCGUAAAGGGUGCGUAGGUGGUUUUUUAAGUCAGGAGUGAAAGGCUACGGCUCAACCGUAGUAAGCUCUUGAAACUGGAAAACUUGAGUGCAGGAGAGGAAAGUGGAAUUCCUAGUGUAGCGGUGAAGUGCGUAGAUAUUAGGAGGAACACCAGUAGCGAAGGCGGCUUUCUGGACUGUAACUGACACUGAGGCACGAAAGCGUGGGGAGCAAACAGGAUUAGAUACCCUGGUAGUCCACGCCGUAAACGAAUGAGUACUAGGUGGUCGGGG